UACGGGGGGGGCAAGCGUUGUUCGGAAUUACGGGGCGUAAAGGGCUCGUAGGCGGCCAACUAAGUCAGACGUGAAAUCCCUCGGCUUAACCGGGGAACUGCGUCUGAUACUGGAUGGCUUGAGUCUGGGAGAGGGAUGCGGAAUUCCAGGUGUAGCGGUGAAAUGCGUAGAUAUCUGGAGGAACACCGGUGGCGAAGGCGGCAUCCUGGACCAACACUGACGCUGAGGAGCGAAAGCCAGGGGAGCAAACGGG
rnacentral:rRNA from 1 species